AGUGAACGCUGGCGGUAGGCCUAACACAUGCAAGUCGAACGGCAGCACAGUAAGAGCUUGCUCUUACGGGUGGCGAGUGGCGGACGGGUGAGGAAUACAUCGGAAUCUACUUUUUCGUGGGGGAUAACGUAGGGAAACUUACGCUAAUACCGCAUACGACCUACGGGUGAAAGCAGGGGAUCUUCGGACCUUGCGCGAUUGAAUGAGCCGAUGUCGGAUUAGCUAGUUGGCGGGGUAAAGGCCAACCAAGGCGACGAUCCGUACCUGGUCUGAGAGGAUGACCAGCAAAACUGGAACUGAGACAGGGUCCAGACUCCUACGGGAGGCAGCAGUGGGGAAUAUUGGACAAUGGGCGCAAGCCUGAUCCAGCCAUACCGCGUGGGUGAAGAAGGCCUUCGGGUUGUAAAGCCCUUUUGUUGGGAAAGAAAAGCAGCAGGUUAAUACCCCGCUGUUCUGACGGUACCCAAAGAAUAAGCACCGGCUAACUUCGUG
rnacentral:rRNA from 1 species